rnacentral:lncRNA from 13 species
UAGUGGAUACAAUACGGUAUGUUAAUAUUGAUGCCAUUCAAAAAUAAACUAUGAUCAUAUUAUUUAUGUUUGCUUGAAUCUACAUUAGGUGAUUAUCAUUGUUGCCAUGGUAUGACUUAAAUAUUUAAUAUAUAACAUGGAAUAUAUAACAUGGAAUAAAUAAUAUGGAAUCAUAUGGAUUCUGGCCAGGAUUGGAGGGGAGUAUUUCUUUUUCAUGGACAUUUGUCUCCCCCUGGUGUCCUGAGAGGGCAGGUAGCCUCCACCGUAGUGAGAAGGCAGGUAGCCUCCACUGUAGUGAGAGGGCAGGUAGCCUCCACCGUAGUGAGAAGGCAGGUAGCCUCCACUGUAGUGAGAGGGCAGGUAUCCUACACUGUAGUGAGGGCAGGUAGCCUACACUGUAGUGAGGGCAGGUAGCCUACACUGUAGUGAGGGCAGGUAGCCUACACUGUAGUGAAACUAUGGGGCUUUAACAGUGAUGUAGCCUAUAACACUUUGCUGUAAAUACAUAGGUGUUGUUCUGGCCUGUCAUUGUGAACCAUAGACAAACUGGGUCAACUAUAGUGCAUAGUCCUAAUACAACUAAAGAUGUGAACUAAUUCUACUUUUCAGUCAGUCUAUCUUACGGAUAAUAAUGACAAUAUAUUUACAUGUUCAAGUUCAAGUAAUCGUUUGUGUUGACAUGACACACUUUGAAAAUGACUUGUUGCUUUUUUCCCCGAUACCAAGAGAGUCUCCGCAUGUUGUGUUCGUAGGUAGCAGUUAUACGCUGUAUCAUACAGACAUCAAUUCAUUGAUUUUUAUAUCUGAUGACAAAUAAAACAGAAGCAAACAACUGUGUGGUUUAUUUGUAGGGGGGCUCUAGUUCAUAAUGGACCUUAGAGAGAACACAGUGGUUUAUUUGUAGGGGGGCUCUAGUUCAUAAUGCACCUUAGAGAGAACACUGGUUUAUUUGUAGGGGGGCUCUAGUUCAUAAUGGACCUGAGAGAGAACACUGGUUUAUUUGUAGGGGGGCUCUAGUUCAUAAUGCACCUUAGAGAG